AAUGCAAGUGAUGAUAAAAUAGACAGGGACAUCAGCACUCCUUUAUAGGAGGAUGUUGACUUGGUCUUAAUCGGAAUCUCUUUGAUGCAUA
rfam:Cephalotus follicularis DNA, scaffold: scaffold786, isolate: St1.